AGGACGAACGCUGGCGGCGUGCUUAACACAUGCAAGUCGAGCGGAAAGGCCCUUCGGGGUACUCGAGCGGCGAACGGGUGAGUAACACGUGAGUAACCUGCCCCUAGCUCUGGGAUAGCUCCGGGAAACCGGGAUUAAUACCAGAUACGACCACUUUAGACAUCUGUCGUGGUGGAAAGGAUUCCGGCUAGGGAUGGGCUCGCGGCCUAUCAGCUUGUUGGUGGGGUAACGGCCUACCAAGGCGACGACGGGUAGCCGGCCUGAGAGGGCGACCGGCCACACUGGGACUGAGACACGGCCCAGACUCCUACGGGAGGCAGCAGUGGGGAAUAUUGCGCAAUGGGCGAAAGCCUGACGCAGCGACGCCGCGUGGGGGAUGGAAGGCCUUCGGGUUGUAAACCCCUUUCAGCAGGGACGAAGCGAAAGUGACGGUACCUGCAGAAGAAGCGCCGGCUAACUACGCGCCAGCAGCCGC
rnacentral:rRNA from 1 species